GGGUGCGAUCUUACCACCACUAAUGCACUGGAUCCCAUCGAAACUCUGAAGUGAAGCAUGCUUGGGCAAGAAUAGUACUAAGAUGGGCUUUGUCAUAGGACUUUCACAGACACAAGCA
rnacentral:rRNA from 1 species